UAAUGCAAAAGGAGAGGCCUUGAUAAGAUGUGAUUUCUAAUAUGUCAUGAAAUGGAGAAGAAUUCACAUCAAAUUAAUGGAUGUUUGUGGAAUUACAAAGUAAAAUUUCCAACUAUUAGAUAUUUACAGGGAUAUUUAAUCAUCAGACCUAGUGUACUUACACAGAGCUCAUAUACAUGGGCAAAGUCUUAGAAAGGCACUAUGUGUUGGAGACAUAAAAGUCAUGCUGGAGCUGGGUUAGGUUUUCUGAUAUCUCUGAAUCUGACCCAUUAUGGGAAUAGGAUCUACGCACACGUCAGGUGAUGGAACUUGCACAAUAUGAUAUGGGACAGGGGCUCGUUUAAAUGGAUCUGCCAUUUGAUAGCUGCCUGGCUACUCACAGCUCCUCUGAGUGCCAGUCCUCUACUUUCAGAAACAAGGACAGUGAGAUAUCAGUCCUUUCAAAGAGCAUUAUGAAACCUGAAGGUGAUUAUUUUCACAUGCUGUUUUCUCUUUGUUUUGUAAUAGUAAUUUUCUAACAGAAGUGGGCAGCAACUGAGAUUUUGAGACAAACUCUUAGCAAUGUACACAUAGGUGGAAAACAAAUCGUGUGUCCACAAGAUGCACCUUUUCCUUCUUAGAUUCCCAAUUCCAUAAUUUUGAAUGCCUUUCAGAGAGUUUUGUAGACUUAACUGGAUAAAACUAAGGGAUUUGGUUUUAAAACAAGCUAUUUGGUUUCUCAAGCAAAUAACAUAGGUCAAUAUUAUUAAACAUGAAAGUUAAGCAUCAAAAUUCUUGUUUGGCAUCUAAACAUCUGUUCUUUGUAUUCUCAUCUUCUUUAGGUUGUAGCUUUUUAUCUUUGUGAAGCAGAGGCCCCAUGACGGCUUUCCCCAUGAUGGCUUCCAAGUUCUCAGCAUGGUUCACAGCGAGGGAAGAGGAGGGAUCAGUCCUAUCCUCAUGCACCAGUUGGAUGUUAGUGGAAACUAAAGAAAUUGAGAACAAUGAACCUUAUCUAACCCCCAUAAAUAGCAAUUUUCAGGUAAUUGAGCUGAACACAGCUGACUCAGUCUGUUUCACCUUUUGUUCUGUCCAGUGAAAUUGUUGCAUAUGGACAACCACUUUCCAGGUUCGGCUGUGGGAUAUAUUCUGCUGUGUGUGUGCACUACCACUCCCUGAACUGUCACAUGCAUUUCAGUAUUUUCUGUCUUGAGGCUCUCUCCUGCUGCUCUGCAGAAGGUAAGGCCUAAUAUUUCUGUGUUAUGUGGGCUGCUGUUCAGACCUGUGUGGUUGCAGCAGCACAGUACAUCCCUGCAACUAAUUGUCAGCUCCCUGUGGCCAUCUUGGCACGACAAUUAUACCCAGUAUCUUGGCUAUUAUACUGCUGGGGAAUCACAGGUAGCUCUGCACCUUUAGAGGAUCACACAGCUCCACCAAGUCGUUCAGAUUAGCGUGGCAAUUAAGGGAUAGCGAAGAGCUGGGAAUCCUUAAUGCUGACUGACAACAUGGCACUACUAGAUGAAAAGGGGAAAAAGAAAGCCACUGCGAAAACUGAAACACUGUGAAAUGGCCAAAGCCCCUGAGCUAAGGCACUUUUUAUGCGAUUGCCAUCAGGCAGGGAGGCAGCAUGUCCUGGGCUGAAGGCACUGACUGAUACCAACAUCCCCCAACCUCUUCCAGAGGAAUUUGAUUUUGCUACUUCUGUUUGUGUAGGCCCUAAUGUUUGCUAAAAUGUUUGCUAAAACAGAGCUCUGUUUCCAAGGUAACAGCUACCUAACUUUAUUACUAAAACAGCGCUAAUUCAGAGAGGGAUCUGAACAAACAGAUUCAUGUUAAUUUCAAGCUCCAUUAAAAACACAAGGAAAAAAAAAAUCAAUGUUUGCCAAAUGGAAAAAGAGAAAAAAAUCAAUAGAGAAAUUUUAUUUUCAGCCUUUUAAGUGGGGUUUUGUAAACAGCAGAGGUUAAAAAAGUAAAACUACGUGAGAGCAGCCCACAGCAUCCUUGUAAGCUGUAAACAGGAGAACAAAAAGAUUUAGUGAUAAUGUAGGAAUAAUAGCUAGGGCUGUAAAACCCUAAUGCCUUGAGAAAUCGAGGCACAGGAGCGGGGUGACCUGUCUCAAGCCAUGUGGCUCCAGGCUGUGACUGCAGAGCAGCGACCAGAAGGCUCGGAGCAGAGCAAAGGUGUGAUUGCAUCACGUCCUGCACUGCCCCAAGCAGUGUGGGCGACAGCAGCUGUGCCCAUGCUACUGCCAGGGUGCUAACAUUUGCUAGCAACCAACGCACAAACGCUCCAGCGAUCCUGGUUAUGUGGUUUGAUUCCUAAUAUACGCCGAAGCCCGUGCUGCCCCCGCUUGCCCCUUGCCAGCAGAAAGGCAGGUACGGUGCACGUGCUGAGGGCACGAUGGCACGGCGGCAGCUGUGACUAUCGGGUGACAUGUGCUGCUCCACAGGCUGCUGGCCAUGGUCACUCAGAGAUCUGCAUCCAUAUCCUCACUGCCCUGAUCCUCUGCGCUGUCCUCCCCAGGUAUAAAAUGUUGGGUGACACCAAGUUCUGGGUUUCCCGGUGCUCUUUGAAGCUAAGGGCUUGGGGAAGGCUGGGAGAACUGUUGUGAAAUCAGGCUUUUCCAUGGUAAUUCAGCCACGGGCUCUUCAUGCUUCACAUGACAUUUAUCAGAUCCCUAAGGCCUCAUGCCUUUCCUUCCAGUUGAGAUUGUCUUGGUAUGUCCUGGUUCUGAAGCUGCUAGAAAAUGAUUUUCACAAGGAAUAGCAAGGAAUAACAAUGACUUUUCCCCUUCACUGGGCCGUGUCUUUUCCAAUUUGCCACUGUUAAUAAAACAUUUCUCAUUUCCA
rnacentral:lncRNA from 1 species